GAAGUUGGAGCAGUAAUAGAAUAUUUCCAUAGUGGGUGGGUUAGUCAGCCCGUGCCAUGGUGUGAAAGGCCGUGAGCAGUCGAGCUGCGCUGGAACGUUGCAAUUAUUUUCCCACUGCACCGCACAGCAAGUGUGUUAAUGAACUACAACGAAGGCCGGCUGUUAACGCUCCUUAACUGCUGCUCCACUCUGCUGCAACACCUGCACGCUAACGAUACCCCAAACGAACGUAGAACCAAGUCAGCACAUUGCAGACGCUAUACAUGCGUUGCCAUCACAACCGAGCCACAUAGUAGUAAAGAAAAUCUUUCCGAACACAACAGAGCCGGCCUCCGAAAGCCUACAGGGCACUGACACUGCCCCUCCUCCAGAGCAACUUCUCUCCUGAUCAAUUGAAACUCAGGUGUAGUAAAAGUACUUUUCUGUGAAAUUGGGGUGGAUGCUACAAAUGACUAAUUCCUAAGUACUAGCUUCAGGCCAAAUAAUGAUAAGAAGUUGUAAAUUAUUUCACUCAUGAUUCCCAAAAACCUCUCAGCUGCUGACCGGUGCUUGAACUUAAAUGUCCCUUUUUAGAUUACACUUAGAGGUCCCAACUUCCAUUUUUAUACUUAAUAGCUGUUAGUUAUGUGUGUAUUUUGUAGUUUUUGUGUCUCCAGUUUAGUACUAUAAUAAAUCUUUCUUUUA